rnacentral:rRNA from 1 species
AGGACGAACGCUGGCGGCGUGCUUAACACAUGCAAGUCGAACGGAAAGGCCCGCUUGCGGGUACUCGAGUGGCGAACGGGUGAGUAACACGUGGGCAACCUGCCCUCAGCUCUGGGAUAACUCCGGGAAACCGGUGCUAAUACUGGAUAUCGACUUCUGCCUCGCAUGGGGUGUUGUUAGUAAAGGUUUUUCGGCGUGGGGAUCGGGCCCGCGGCCUAUCAGCGUUUGGUUGGGUGGGGGUUGAGUCGGCCUAACCGAAGGGCGACGGACGGGUAGGCCCGGCUGGAGGACGGGCGACCGGCCGACGACGUGGACUGAGACACGGCCA